GACGAACGCUGGCGGCGUGCCUAAUACAUGCAAGUUGAGCGCUGAAGGCUGGUACUUGUACCAACUGGAUGAGCAGCGAACGGGUGAGUAACGCGUGGGGAAUCUGCCUUUGAGCGGGGGACAACAUUUGGAAACGAAUGCUAAUACCGCAUAAAAACUUUAAACACAAGUUUUAAGUUUGAAAGAUGCAAUUGCAUCACUCAAAGAUGAUCCCGCGUUGUAUUAGCUAGUUGGUGAGGUAAAGGCUCACCAAGGCGAUGAUACAUAGCCGACCUGAGAGGGUGAUCGGCCACAUUGGGACUGAGACACGGCCCAAACUCCUGCGGGAGGCAGCAGUAGGGAAUCUUCGGCAGUAGACGAAAGUCUGACCGAGCAACGCCGCGUGAGUGAAGAAGGGUGUCGGAUCGUAAAACUCUGUUGGUAGAGAAGAACGUUGGUGAGAGUGGAAAGCUCAUCAAGUGACGGUAACUACACAGAAAGGGACGGCUAACUACGUG
rnacentral:rRNA from 1 species